GCCAGCAUGGCAUAGCGGUUUGAGCACUGGACUAUGACUCUGGAGAGACCAGGGUUCGAUUCCCAGCUCAGCCU